rnacentral:tRNA from 1 species
UCCGCGGUAGCUCAAUGGUAGAGCAACCGACUGUUAAUCGGUAGGUUACUGGUUCGAGCCCAGUCCGCGGAG